GACGAACGCUGGCGGCGUGCUUAACACAUGCAAGUCGAACGGAAAGGCCCUGCUUUUGUGGGGUGCUCGAGUGGCGAACGGGUGAGUAACACGUGAGUAACCUGCCCUUGACUUUGGGAUAACUUCAGGAAACUGGGGCUAAUACCGGAUAGGAGCUCCUGCUGCAUGGUGGGGGUUGGAAAGUUUCGGCGGUUGGGGAUGGACUCGCGGCUUAUCAGCUUGUUGGUUGGGUAGUGGCUUACCAAGGCUUUGACGGGUAGCCGGCCUGAGAGGGUGACCGGCCACAUUGGGACGGAGAUACGGCCCAGACUCCUACGGGAGGCAGCAGUGGGGAAUAUUGCACAAUGGGCGGAAGCCUGAUGCAGCAACGCCGCGUGCGGGAUGACGGCCUUCGGGUUGUAAACCGCUUUCGCCUGUGACGAAGCGUGAGUGACGGUAAUGGGUAAAGAAGCACCGGCUAACUACGUG
rnacentral:rRNA from 1 species